CGCGCAGGCGGAUUAUUAAGCCAGAUGUGAAAUCUCGGGGCUCAACCCCGAAACUGCGUCUGGAACUGGUAAUCUAGAGUUAUGGAGGGGAGAGCGGAAUUUCGCAUGUAGGGGUAAAAUCCGUAGAGAUGCGAAGGAACACCAGAGCCGAAGGGGGCUCUCUGGCCAUCAACUGACGCUGAGGCGCGAAAGCGUGGGGAGCAAACA
rnacentral:rRNA from 1 species